UUCAGCCUGAACAGCAGGUCCAUCAUUUCACCUGUGGAGACAUGGAGCACCUGGCUGUGAUCUGGUUCUUCUCAGCUCUGAUAGGUCAGAGCUUGGAAGCUGACAUCACCGCCGUCAGAUCUCAGGAGUUUUCAUCAGAGGGACGCAGGGUUACUCUGUCCUGUAACUAUUCAGUUAAAGCUGACAACCUCCAGUGGUAUCGACAGGAUCCUGGAUCAGCUCCUCGGUUCCUUCUCCUGAUCACUGAUACUAAAGAUCCAACCGUGGUGGAAGCAAAACCUCCAAACCCUCGACUGACUGCAGAACUGAACGAGCAGAGGAACCGAGUGGACCUGCUGAUCUCCUCUGCUGCAGUGUCAGACUCUGCUGUGUACUACUGUGCUGUGCAGCCCACAGUGACAGGAAACAGCAGAACUCUGUACAAGAACCUGCAGUACUCCACAACAUCCACUAGAGGGCCUCACAGGCUGCUCCACCUCUGGUUUGUCAGGAUUCAGUCUGACUGA